ACACCUCAACUCCUCAUGGUUUGCCAUGAUGGGCUUGGACUUUGGGGGCUUUGCUGGCUACUAUGGUCGGCUCCUCUCAAACAAAUCAGCUUGCCAGUGUUUGGUGGCGUCACAGGUGUGAUAACUAUCUACGCUUGUGGUCUCCCCACCAGGUAACCUUCAGCAAUGGAGGUUCGCUGGGGCUCAUAAACGUCUCUCCUCUGUGAGAGACAGCUUUUUGAAC
rnacentral:misc_RNA from 1 species